AGGGGAAUAUUGGACAAUGGGCGCAAGCCUGAUCCAGCCAUGCCGCGUGAGUGAUGAAGGCCUUAGGGUUGUAAAGCUCUUUCACCUGGGAAGAUAAUGACGGUACAGCAGAGAG
rnacentral:rRNA from 1 species